rnacentral:lncRNA from 1 species
AUCUAUCUCCGUAACUUUCCUAUUUCAUGGUCUUCGAAAAAGCAUCACUCGGUUUCUUGUUCAUCAACAGAAGUUGAAUAUCAAGUUGUCGUUGCCGCAGCUGUAUUGAGACUGAUUAACUCAUUCACUUACUUCAUGAACUCUGUGUUCCACUUAUAGCAGUUCCUCGGGUUCUCUGUGACAUUGUGAACACAACUUACAUUCCGCAUGAAACAUGUGGUCAUUGACUUCCACUUCGUUCAUCAAGUCAUGGAUCUUCUAACAAAAACACUGCCACGAGCUUCCUUCUGUCACCAUUUUUCCAAGUUGGGUGUGGUUGAUAUCAACACCAACUUGCAUUGACUUAGUCCACAUCAAUAACUAUUUUGUUUAGAUUUCUUGUUAUCUUUCUUGAACUUCC